UAUUAUUUUGUUUAAUUUUCAGUCUUCCCAGGUGGAAAUCUUCAGAGGCCUGAAGGUGUUUCAGAUGCAUCUCCAUAGACAUUGUAAAACCAUUUGUACACCAGAGAGCAGCACUGUGGCACGUCCUGUGGUCUCCACCAACCUUCUCAGGAGUCUCUGUUCUGGAUCAUUCUACAUGAAAAAAUUCAUCUCUCUCUAUAGAGCCCUUGCUAUUAUGAUUAAAAUAAACAAAUAAUAAAAAGUUUACAUUAUUUCCUCUGAUAGAUUUUAUCCAAGCAUUACCUGGAUUCAUGGAUUCCUAAUAUUUACUACUGCUGUCUCCUUAAGAAUAAAGAUAUGUGUUGAACAUAUAAUAA